rnacentral:rRNA from 1 species
AUUGAACGCUGGCGGCAUGCCUUACACAUGCAAGUCGAACGGCAGCACGGGUGCUUGCACCUGGUGGCGAGUGGCGAACGGGUGAGUGAUAUAUCGGAACGUACUUUAUUGUGGGGGAUAACGCAGCGAAAGCUGUGCUAAUACCGCAUAAUCCCUAAGGGGAAAAGCGGGGGACCGUGAGGCCUCGCGCAAUUAGAGCGGCCGAUUUCUGAUUAGCGAGUUGGUGAGGUAAAGGCUCACCAAGGCAACGUACAGUAGCUGGUCUGAGAAGACGAGCAGAACAAUGAGACUGAGACACGGCCCAGACUCCUACGGGAGGCAGCAGUGGGGCAUUUUGGACAAUGGGGGCAAACCUAAUCCAGCAAUGGCGCGUGAGGGAAGAAGGCCUUCGGGUUGUAAAGCACUUUUGUCAGGGAAGAAACAACAGCUCUACCACAGUUUGCGAAUGACGGUACCUGAAGAAUAAGCACCGGCUAACUACGUGCCAGCAGCCGCGGUAA